CCUACGGGAGGCAGCAGUGAGGAAUAUUGGUCAAUGGGCGCGAGCCUGAACCAGCCAAGUAGCGUGAAGGAUGACUGCCCUACGGGUUGUAAACUUCUUUUAUAAAGGACUAAAGUGAGGCACGUGUGCCUUUUUGUAUGUCCUUUAUGAAUAAGGAUCGGCUAACUCCGUGCCAGCAGCCGCGGUAAUACGGAGGAUCCGAGUGUUAUCCGGAUUUAUUGGUUUUAAAGGGUGCAGAGAUGGGUUGUUAAGUAAGGUGUGAAAGUUUGAGGCUCAACCGUAAAAGUGCAAUUGAUACUGGCAGUCUAGAGUACAGUUGAGGUAGGCGGAAUGCGUGGUGUAGCGGUGAAAUGCUUAGAUAUCACGAAGAACUCCGAUUGCGAAGGCAGCUUACUAAACUGCCACUGACAUUGAUGCUCGAAAGUGUGGGUAUCAAACAGGAUUAGAUACCCCAGUAGUC
rnacentral:rRNA from 1 species